AGUCGAGGGGCAGCGGGAGUGCUUGCACUCGCCGGCGACCGGCGCACGGGUGCGGAACGCGUAUGGAAUCUACCUCUUUCUGGGGAAUAGCCCAUGGAAACGUGGAUUAAUACCCCAUAGUAUUCAGAAAUCGCAUGAUUUUUGAAUUAAAGCUUUGGCGGAGAGAGAUGACCAUGCGUAUCAUUAGCUAGUAGGUGAGGUAACGGCUCACCUAGGCUACGAUGAUUAGGGGUCCUGAGAGGGAGAUCCCCCACACUGGUACUGAGACACGGACCAGACUCCUACGGGAGGCAGCAGUGAGGAAUAUUGGACAAUGGUCGAAAGACUGAUCCAGCCAUGCCGCGUGCAGGAUGAAUGCCCUAUGGGUUGUAAACUGCUUUUAUACGGGAAGAACACCACCCACGUGUGGGUGACUGACGGUACCGUAAGAAUAAGGACCGGCUAACUCCGUGCCAGCAGCCGCGGUAAUACGGAGGGUCCAAGCGUUAUCCGGAAUCAUUGGGUUUAAAGGGUCCGUAGGCGGGCUAUUAAGUCAGAGGUGAAAGUUUGCAGCUCAACUGUAAAAUUGCCUUUGAUACUGGUAGUCUUGAGUUAUAGUGAAGUGGUUAGAAUAUGUGGUGUAGCGGUGAAAUGCAUAGAUAUCACAUAGAAUACCAAUUGCGAAGGCAGAUCACUAACUAUAUACUGACGCUGAUGGACGAAAGCGUGGGGAGCGAACGGGAUUAGAUACCCCGGUAGUCCACGCCGUAAACGAUGGAUACUAGCUGUUGGAUUUUUUCAGUGGCUAAGCGAAAGUGAUAAGUAUCCCACCUGGGGAGUACGUUCGCAAAAA
rnacentral:rRNA from 1 species